GCCAUCAAAGGAAAGGGAGAGAGAGAAAAGAAAGCAAUUUCUUCAAGGCUGUUUCAAUAUGGUCUGUUUGAUGAAAUACACAUUGAGAUUCAUAAAGAGCAGCUAAGCCUAGAAAGAUAAUGGAGGCAUAACUAUCCAUAUAUUCAAAGGGAUUCAAAUUCACGCUACAAGUUCAUCAUGUGAAAAUCCUUAAAAAAUCUCCUUCAGUUGUAGAUUCCAUGGUCUCCCAGUCAUGAAAACAUAAUGAAUUUGACAAUCAAAGUUAAUCCAGCAAAGACAGUGAGCAGGAUUGUACAAGGAAAGAGUGGAAUCACAGAACUCCCAUCAGGAAAAUAAACCCAGAACAUUUAGUUACCAAUGUGGAAUCUGUGGCAUAGACAAGUGAAGAAUUUCUUCUAUAUUCAUUUGGAGUCCCCAAACUCAGGAGUAUGAAAGAUGUUCAGAAAGCCAACAAGGAAAAUCGACCACUCAAAAAAUAGUACAGAUAUGCAGAUGGAAAGGAACAAAAGUCAUGAUUGAGGUAACCAAGACACAGAACACAAAUAUG
rnacentral:lncRNA from 1 species